GUCUCACCUGACCUUUCUUUGGAACUGGGAACGGGUUGGAGAAAAGCAGACAGAUAAACUUGUCUUAGAAAGUCUAGGGAUGCUUCCUGUUCUUAGGAAGGACAUCCCUGAUAAACCUUUGCAACACAAGCUUCAGGUGCAUAGAAAGGAAAACCAAGAUGAGACUUACAUUCCUGCCAUAAACAACUAGGAAACUGGGCGGAAUACUAAAAACAACUCUUUGUAGAUAUUGGACAACCAUCAUUCUGGAGCUAUUAUCUUGAUAUUCAGAGAAGGUAAACAAAUGUGGUGAGUUAUGUUAUCUUUGUGGCUUUCUCUCUAGAGGCGCUUUCUUUUUUUUUCUUUUUAUUAAUUAUUUUUAUUAACAUAUAAUGUAUUAUUUGCC
rnacentral:lncRNA from 1 species